rnacentral:lncRNA from 1 species
UUGAGAGCAUCAGUUAAAGUAAAGUAGUGAAGAGGUAGAGUUACAGGUAUACAGUGAGUAAUAGCUCUAUUUGAGUGAUGUUAAUGAAAAGAAGAAUUUCAAGAACUUUGAAAGUAUCCUCAAGUGCAGUCGCCACAAAGACCAUCCAAAACAUUAUAAUGAUGGGACCGCCCCAAAUAAGAGACACCUAAAUGCUUCACAGAAGAAGGUCGUCACUGGUGUACUAAGUAACAGGUAGACCAAGUGUUACGCUUUCAGGGCUCUGCGCUUCCUUUUCAGCAUGGAGCGCAACAGACAUCUGUUCAAAAGGCUCUUCCCGCCGGAUCUGUUCGAGAUGUUUAUCGACAUCGGGCACUACGCCAGAGACAUCGCUGCGUACGAACCUCUGCAGGAGAAAGUCUCACAGCUAACGGUCAGUUCACUGUGUGGGGGCUGAUAUCCACUGGGACUCUUUCUAUGAAUUUUGCCUACAAUGAAC